rnacentral:tRNA from 1 species
GGUGGUAUGUCUCAAGUAUUAGUGCUUGUCUGGCAAAUAAAAGGCCCUGAGUUCAAAUUCCAGUACUACCA